rnacentral:sRNA from 1 species
AAAAGACCAACACCCUGUUCCGGAGCAACUCUCUGGCCUCAAAGUCCAUGGAGUCUUUUCUGAAGGUGGCCGGGAUGCAGUACCUGCACGGCGUCCUGGGCCCCAUCAUCAACAAGGUGUUUGAGGAGAAGUAGUACGUGGAGCUGGACCCCAGCAAAGUGGAAGUUAAGGAUGUAGGGUGCUCCGGGCUGCACCGCCCGCAGACCGAGGCCGAGGUGCUGGAGCAGAGCGCGCAGACGCUGCGCGCCCACCUGGGGGCCCUGCUGAGCACGCUCAGCCGCUCGGUUCGCGCGUGCCCCGCCGUGGUGCGCGCCACCUUCCGCCAGCUCUUCCGGCGCGUGCGCGAGCGCUUCCCCGGCGCCCAGCACGAGAAUGUACCGUUCAUCGCCGUCACCAGCUUCCUGUGCCUGCGCGUCUUCUCUCCCGCCAUCAUGUCGCCCAAGCCCUUCCACCUUCGGGAGCGCCACGCGGACGCCCGCACCAGCCGCACCCUGCUCCUGUUGGCCAAGGCAGUCCAGAACGUGGGCAACAUGGACACGCCGGCUUCCAGGGCCAAGGAGGCUUGGAUGGAGCCGCUGCAGCCCACCGUGCGCCAGGGCGUGGCGCAGCUGAAGGACUUCAUCACCAAGCUCGUGGACAUCGAGGAGAAGGACGAGCUGGACCUGCAGCGGACGCUGAGUUUGCAGGCGCCACCUGUGAAGGAGGGGCCACUCUUCAUCCACAGGACCAAGGGCAAGGGCCCCCUCAUGUCCUCCUCCUUCAAGAAGCUCUACUUCUCCCUCACUACCGAGGCCCUCAGCUUCCCGAAGACGCCCAGCUCCAAGAAAAGCGCCCUCAUCAAGUUAGCCAACAUCCGGGCAGCGGAAUGUU